rnacentral:rRNA from 1 species
GAUCCAGCCAUGCCGCGUGUGUGAAGAAGGCCUUUUGGUUGUAAAGCACUUUAAGCAGUGAAGAAGACUCCGUGGUUAAUACCCAUGGACGAUGACAUUAGCUGCAGAAUAAGCACCGGCUAACUCUGUGCCAGCAGCCGCGGUAA